GGACUACCCGGGUAUCUAAUCCCGUUCGCUCCCCGCGCUUUCGCGUCUCAGCGUCAGGGACGGACCAGGGCGCCGCCUUCGCCACGGGUGUUCCUCCUGAUCUCUACGCAUUUCACCGCUACACCAGGAAUUCCACGCCCCUCUUCCGUCCUCAAGCGGGCCAGUCUCGGGCGGCGUCCCGGAGUUGAGCUCCGGGCUUUCACACCCGACUUAACCCGCCACCUACACGCGCUUUACGCCCAGUAAAUCCGGACAACGCUCGCCCCCUACGUAUUACCGCGGCGGCUGGCAC
rnacentral:rRNA from 1 species